AGGGAAGAAUGUCUGUGGAUUGUAAACCUCUUUUCUUAGGGAAGAAGAACUGACGGUACCUGAGGAAUCAGCAUCGCUAACUCCGUGCCAGCAGCCGCGGUAAUACGGAGGAUGCAAGCGUUAUCCGGAAUCAUUGGGCGUAAAGCGUCCGUAGGCGGCUUAUCAAGUCUGUUGUUAAAGCGUGCAGCUUAACUGCAUAUAGGCAAUGGAAACUGGUCGGCUAGAGUGUAGUAGGGGUAGAGGGAAUUCCCAGUGUAGCGGUGAAAUGCGUAGAUAUCGGGAAGAACACCAGUGGCGAAAGCGUUCUACUGGACCGGAACUGACACUCAGGGACGAAAGCUAGGGUAGCGAAAGGGAUUAGAUACCCCUGUA
rnacentral:rRNA from 1 species